GCUGAAUGUCAGGUAAGGAAUUGUUUGGCUCAGAACAUGUUGACUUUGAAGGCCUUGUGAGAUAUCCAGGGAAGGAUAUCUGUCUGUAGGCAGCCAAAAAUAGGAGUCUAGGAUUACUGAUCAGUGUUGACCUAAAGAUUUGAGAGUUAAGAGUAUAGGUGGGAGGUUACAUUUAUGUGGGGGGAAUGGCUAUGUAGACAGCAUGGGAUGAGAGAGUGCAGUGCUAUAGUAUUGAGUGGAGCCCUGUGAUGUCCAACAAUAGUCUCCAGCCAUGUGUGGUUAUUUAAAUUUUAAUAAAUUAUAAUUAAGUUAAAAAUUCAGUUAUUCAUUUGCCACAUUUCAAGUGCUUAAUAGCCACAUGUGUCUAGUGGCUUCUAUAUUUAUAGCCAGAGGUAGAACAUUCCCAUCAUUGCAGAAAGUUCUGUUGGACAGCGCUGCUAUAGACUUUGAGAGAAUAAUUUGAUUAUAGCAGGGGCAAAAGCCAAAAAGUAGUAUGAAGUUGAGGAUUAAAUACCUAAUCAUUUAUAGACAAGAAACUAAGACUUAGGAAAAAAUACAUAAUCAGGAGACACUCCAGUUGUCAAGUAUAAACUGAUCUUCUCAGUCAUAACAGAAAAGGAAAAAAGAGAUGAGGCAAUAAUUUAAUGGAGAAGCAAGGGAUACAGAAAUCCUAAGCACUGCUAGCAUGGAAAAAC
rnacentral:lncRNA from 10 species